rnacentral:rRNA from 1 species
GUGCCAGCCGCCGCGGUAACACCAGCGGCUCGAGUGGUAACCGAUUUUAUUGGGCCUAAAGCGUCCGUAGCCGGACCGACGGGUCCCUUGUGAAAUCGGACGGCUUAACCGUUCGGCUUGCAGGGGAAACUGUCGGUCUUGAGGCUGGUAGGCGCCGAGGGUACUCCAGGGGUAGCAGUGAAAUGCUAUAAUCCUUGGGGGACCGCCAGUGGCGAAAGCGCUCGGCGAGGCCAGACCUGACGGUGAGGGACGAAGGCCAGGGUAGCAAACCGGAUUAGAUACCCGGGUAGUCC